rnacentral:miRNA from 1 species
ACCCGAGCGGUCUGAGCAAACU